UGGUGUCUGGAGUUCAGACAUUUGCCAUUCGUGUCGGGACCAGAGUGCGGACAGAAGGGAGCCGCCUCUCACCGGUUUCUCACCGUAUGUUCGUGGGGAACCUGGUGCUAAAUCAUUCGUAGACUACCUGAUUCUGGGUCAGGGUUUCGUGCG